rnacentral:lncRNA from 1 species
CUGCCAAGCCCCCCAGAGUCUCUCUGCUGCCGCCGCAAGCGCCGCUGGCCCGGGGACCACAGAUUGGAAGCAGGCAGUCACUGGUCGUGGACAGGAAGACUCUCUCCGGCCAUCUCAGCUGUGGUCCUCUAACCUGUGCCUGUGAGCCACCAAGAGUGAACGGAAACUAGAAGCAUUGCCACCAACAACUGGAGCAGUGACCACACUGAAGUUUCUCUGUCGAGGGGGAAGGGGAGUAAGGAGAAAAAAAAAAAAAAAAGGCAAGUAAGCAAGCAAGCCAGCAAGCACAGGAGCACACUCUCGUGGAGGCCCACACCCUCCCUGUGCCUACCCAAGAUGUGUCAGUCAGAGAAGCAUCCAGGACCGGAGCUCCAAGCAGCAGCAAAAUGGGGCUCCAAGGCCUUUGGUCAGGCUGCUGCUGUACUUAGAGGUUCCUAGGAGUUGUUCCUGAGCUGCUGCCCACUCAGCCUGCCGGCAGGUUGUACUUUCCCCAGCUGGCCCUAUGGCGGAGGCUAGGCCAGCUGAGCUGCAUGUCCAGACCUGCUCUGAAUCUGCGCUCCUGGCUGCUGACCAUCCUCCACUACCUCCUGCCCUUCCGUGUGCUCGGGCCCCACAGCCAGGUGGGAUGGAGGCCCCUGAGCAGGGUGUUCCUGUAUAAAACUGUGCCAACGAGUUUGCUGUCAUGUGCCUGUGGUCGCCUCAACAAAGUAGAACUUCCUUACUGGCUCUGGAGGCCAGUCUACAGCCUGUAUAUCUGGACCUUUGGGGUGAACAUGACUGAGGCUGCAGUGGAGGACCUGCACCACUACCGCAACCUCAGCGAGUUUUUCCGGCGUAAGCUGAAGCCUCAGGCACAGCCUGUCUGAGAUUUGUACUGUGUGGUAAUGCCUGGCCCUUGUCUCCAUUCUUCAUUAGGAAAUGAAACCCUUGUCUGCCUUUAAGCCAGGCUUAGCAGCACCGCAUGGCCGUGGCACUCCGGGAGGCUCCCUCCUGACCUGGACUGGAGCUCCCUGAGGACUUGGCAGAUGGUAGAGUUUGGGGAGCCACUGAAGGUGAGCACUACCCCCUCCUUACCUUCAAAACUCUGUCUCCUCCAGACCAGCCCAUCAGAUGGCAAGAUCCUCACCUUUGGGCAGGUGAAGAACUCUGAGGUGGAGCAGGUAAAGGGCGAAACCUACUCCUUGGAGUCCUUCCUGGGCCCUCGAACCAGUACAGAAGACCUGCCCUUCCCUCCAGCUUCUUCCAGUGACUCCUUCAGAAACCAGCUGGUCCCCCAAGAAGGGAAUGCGCUCUACCACUGUGUCGUCUACCUGGCCCCAGGAGACUACCACUGCUUCCACUCCCCCACUGACUGGACCGUCUCACAUCGGCGCCACUUCCCAGGUUCCCUGAUGUCAGUGAACCCUGGCAUGGCCCGAUGGAUCAAAGAGCUCUUUUGUCACAAUGAGCAUGUAGUCCUAACUGGAGACUGGAAAAAUGGGUUCUUCUCGUUGACAGCAGUGGGAGCCACCAAUGUGGGCUCUAUCCAUAUCCACUUUAACUGAGACUUGCACACAAACAGCCCCAGGUACAGCAAGGUACUACAAUGACCUGAGCUUUGUAACAAGGAGGGCAUUCCCAUGCACAAGGGUGAGCCCCUGGGCGAGUUCAACCUGAGCUCCACAUCAUGCUCAUCUUCGAGGCACCCAAGGACUUCAACUUGAGGCUGAAGGCAGAACAGAAGAUCUGCUUUGCAGGAGCACUGGGCUCCCUCUAGUCCUCUCGGUUGUGGCUGCCAAAGGAUCUUUCCACACAGGAGCAUGAGGGUCUUUAGCGGAGCCCCAGGAUGUCUAGGGUGACGUGCCUGCUGGGCAGAGACUGUGGAUCCACUGUCUUCCUAGAGCAGGCCACAUGGCCUUCAUAACUGCUUUCUGCUCCCAAAUUUCACCUAUCUGCAUGCUGGAAAAGUAAAAUCAUUUAUAUAUUGCUGGA